rnacentral:lncRNA from 1 species
UUUUGCAUGGGCAGUGGAGUCCAAGUGACUCCUGUCUCUUGCUGUUGUUGCAGCUGCUGGGAGGAACAGCUGCCAGGAAUGGAAACAACGUAAAGGAAUAUCCAUGAGGAACAGGAGAAGAGGAAAUAAGGAGAAAUAUGCAUUAAAAUGAAAGAAGAGACACAUGGACUUGGAAUGCAAAAGGAGGGAAAUGAAUCUACACAAGACACAUUCUCCUCAAUUAAUGUACCUGAAUCAGAGUUUGAGGGAAGUGUCUCGAUCUAUUUGGGAUUUGGAGAUGUUAUUGAUCCAAAGCACCAGCUAGAGUGCCAGUACAAGUUGUACUCUGGCGUGUGAGUGUCUUCUGCAAGGCUGGAGUCCUGCCAGGCUCCCCUGAACUUAUCUUCUGCAAACUUUUCCCCUUUGUGGCCUGAGGCUGACGGCUCUGCCCGGCUCCCUGAAGUAGCUGGGUGCUUUUCCAGAAGAGAUCUGACACACUGUGGACUCACCUUUAGCUUUGGCUGAGGGCAGAGAUGCUGCUAUGACUGGCUGAAUAUUUGAGAAGCCAAGCAGGCUGGAACUGCCGUUUUGGUACUUACGUAAGGAUACGUGUGCUCAGGGUAGAAUGUGUCUGUUCUUCCCUUACCGAGACCGCAUUACAAGCAGCGGGUACAUUUACUUUGCCCCAGAACUUGCACUUCCACACGGAGAAAGCAACCUGCCUCAGAUCCUCAAAUGCAUGUACUGGAUAAAAGAAAACAAGAUUCUUUUGUGGCUUGUGUAAUUUGAGGAGCAAACAUGGAUGUUUACCCUGUGCCAAAUUCUGCCCACAUAAGCAGAUCAGACUUUUUUUUUUAAAUGUUGUUCUGGGAGGUCAGAGCCUAUUUUGUUUGCUGCAUUUUUUUUGCUUAGUGAAGCAAAGUUCACAGGAGCCAGAGUAAUGAUUUGAUUUCCAAGUUUUUUUCAUUUCCCACUAUGUGCAUAGUUAAACAUAACUGUGGUAGUCUUGGCUUUGAUCAGUAGCAAAGAAGCUGUAACUUCUAAAUAAGCAAUAAACCCCAUUGUCCAUUUUUUUGAAAUGUCA